AUAGACAUAGUUUAUAAAAAUUUUAGCCUGUGACCCUAAAGAUGAGAGCUAACAACUCUCUGUCUAUC
rnacentral:tRNA from 1 species